rnacentral:lncRNA from 1 species
CACAGGUUGAGAACCCCUGUUCUAUGGCUUUGAUACUAUUUCUGAUAAGAUCCCAUCUGGAGGGCAGAGAGGUACCUGAUGAGGUACAUGAACUCCUGUCUAGGGCAGUAGCAAGGUGUUACACUGAUCAUCUAGAUUUUGGUGCCUUAUUCUUGGUCCCCUGUGUUUUGUUCUACAUGGUGUUUGUCUCCUGCCUGAGACACUAGCAAAAAAAAAAAGACUGCCUGCCCACCUAGUUCUUAGAUGCUGGGGAACAAGAAAGUAGUCAGUUGAGCCUAAUUAAAUGUAUGAAUGAAGGUAGGCACCAUACUUUUUUUGACCAGUCGUUUUCAGCUACAUGAAUGUAGCCAUGUUUAAUGGUUUUGAUUUUUGCUGACUCUGUCCCUUGGACGUUUGUGUUCUAUGGUUUCAUUUUUUGAUCUGUCUGUCUCUUCUGCCCCUGCCAUACUCCCUCCAUCUGCCACAGAAACAGCCACUGAAGUCCACAGUCAGAGAAAACUGUUUUUCCAUCCUGAGUCUCAUGCUAGGUGCAGGCUUUGGGCCCACCACAUGCCUGGCCAGGGCAGGAAAAGGGACAGCAAGGACUAGAAGGGCAAACUCCCAGAGGUGGACCCUAGUGGACAGCUCACUGACUGCCUUCCUGACUCCUUGUCCCAGGAAAACCCAUGGCCUACAAAGAGCAGAUGGGGGUGCAGACCUAUCAGGGGAAGAUGGAGCAGUUGGCUGUAGUUGCUAUCUCCAUUCUCAGGUUGCUCUGGUCCCUCCUCCUGGUCCCUGAAUUCAAUUUAGCAGGGAUUCAGAUGUUUUUUAGAUAUAGACAAUAUUGAGAUAUAAUUUUAUGCUGUUGUGCUAUAUUGAAAAACUGAGUGCCUGCUUCUCUAGACCCAAGCAUGCUAUUUAAGUCUCCUGUCUGCCCUAUGACAGGUGAGACACCUGAUUUUAUGACAAAAAAAAGAAAAAAACAGCCCUCCCCCCCCAAAAAAAAAGCAAGGCAAUGGUGGCGCACGCCUUCAAUCCCAGCACUCGGGAGGCAGAGGCAGGCGGAUCUCUGAGUUUGAUGCCAGCCUGGUCUCCAGAGAUAGUUGCAGGACAGCCAGGGUCACACAGAGAAACCCUGUCUAGGAGGCAAAGUAAAAGAACAAAAAUAAAAAGAAACUGAAAGGGAAAUGAGGGUUUCAAAAACGCUGUCCCAGAGGGAACUCUAGAGCAAAGUAAAAGAACAAAAAUAAAAAGAAACUGAAAGGGAAAUGAGG